rnacentral:lncRNA from 1 species
AUGGACACUGAAGAGCAUGACAAGCAAUCCCCAAAGUGAUGACUUCAAAGACCCUGACAAAGCCUGAAACUUGAAAUCACUCCAAGGACUCUUUGGCUUUCUUUCUCUUGGGUUGUCUACUGGAUGCCACCACCCCCACCAGUUGAAAGGUAAAACAUUAAUAAAUAAUUAAUUUAAUUGUAUACUUUAUACAGGAUGACUUUUUCCCCCAUGAUUUACCAACUAUUGACAGCUGUGAUAAUUUAGAUCUAACUCUGAAGAACUUCAUAAACCCUUCACUACUGGAUAAAUGUUGCAUUUUCUCUGUUUUCCAAAGGGAAGAAUCAAAACAGAAACAGUGAAACCUAAAAAUCUUAAGCCAUGACCAGGAGUCACUUUUAAAUCCCCGCGGAGAGAAUACCUUUAAGAACAGCUGGAAGGAACCAACUGCCAAAUUUCAACUGGCACUGAGAUUUCUGAACUUCGUAUAUGAACAUUCUGUCCCAGCAAAGAGUGAAUAUGUACCUAUGCCACAUUUCUGAAAUGAAUGAUUCCUCAUGUCAGAAAUCGUAUUGCUAGGAUGUGGUGGACGGGAAACCGCGCGAGGACUCUGCAGGCCUGGGUCCCAUCUGACUACAGUGCUCUCGUCUGUCAACCUCUGUCAAGCUCAGUGUUGCCCUCUCGCAGAUGCAGAUCUGAGCCCGCAGCCGCCGUGGCAGGUGGGUGGCGUGUGCGUGUCCUGGAGCCCACGCCCCGCGCGUCGGGUGCAAGCGGCCCCACUGCUCACACGCCUUGCCCUCGGCGUCUCCUCAGCCAGUGAAUCUUCGGGAGACCUAAUGACGCCUUAAAGACCAGGUCAACCGCCACCGACUACCUCAGUGCUGCCUUCCGGGCCCGCAGGAGCCCAGGGUUCUUCUUGCCCAAAAACCCUUACUGCCGUCCUGUGGAUAGGGGUCGGCAGGAGGCGGCCUAUGGCCACAGCCUGCUUGCUGGCUGCUGGUGACCGCAGAGUCGGGCAGUUGCGACAGAGACCAAGUGGCCUGCAAAGCCCAGCAUACUUUCUGUCUCGCCUUUUACAGAAAAAGGUUGCUAAUAUGGAG